GCAACACCAACACCAUGUUAUUGGUCAUAUCAGUUCAUUGUGAUGGCAUAUGGCUUUCGAGCCAAAAGGUUGCCAUUGACAUUAUUAGAUCCAUGCAACUACAUAGACCAUGUUGGUGCUCGUCCAAAAAAAAAAAAAAUGUUGAUGGAUCACGACAGUACUACCGUUACUCCAUCGAUCGAUCCUAUUCCUGCAUGAAUUAAUAUAUGUAACUGCCUCGAUCAAUUAAUCUC